CUUGUCGAGAAAAACUUGACACAUACCAACAAAACAAAAUGGUUGUAAACUUCUUUCUUCUGCGCUAUACUUAAGAAGAAUUAUUUUUGUUCGGUGUAAAGAAUGGCAUAGUAUAAGACUUUUCAUCUUGAUGACCACCUUGGACAAGGAUAGUAACACAUUGUGUGCAGUUGCACACCAGGAGGCAAUAUAAAUGGAACAAGGUACAGUGAAAUGGUUUAACGGAGAAAAAGGCUUCGGCUUUAUCGAACGAAAUGGUGGAGACGAUGUAUUCGUUCACUUCUCUGCUAUCCAAGGUGAGGGCUUCAAAACUUUAGACGAAGGUCAAAAAGUAACUUUUGAUGUUGAACAAGGAUCCCGCGGGCCACAAGCAGCAAACGUUGAAAAAGCUUAAUGUAGAGAAAAUGAUAAAAACAGGCUCUUUAUAAAGAGGGCCUGUUUUU
rnacentral:sRNA from 1 species